UGAUGGAAACUAGUCAGGCUUCAUCUUGUAUUCCCCGUUCAGUGACUAAUGGAACCAAAUGGGAUUCCGGGUGUCUGUACGGCAUCACUGAAGGAGUCUUUUCUCCGGUGGGAUAUCUUGUCGCCCCCUCCAUAGGAGAUACUCCAGCAUCAAACUUUCAGGCUACGAUUCAAGAUCCGGCAUUCAGAACAGCUUCAUCUUCUCAAAGUUUGCCUCUAUCUUUUAAUUGGUCUAGCAGAUUUUCAGAUAUGAUACGCAUGAGAUCAUCUGCAAACUUUGAAGGCAAAGAUAUUUCUCUUCCUCUAGAUAACAGAAAUUUUGAAGGUUACUCUCCUUUGGUUCCUGAUGGAACUACCAUCACGGACCAUAGAGUUGGUGAGCAUUCAACAUGUUCUAUAAUUAUUGGACUAUCUUGUAAAGGUCAACAAAGGAAGUUACAGAGUGAAUCCUCUUCUUGUGGUAUAAACAAUUUUAAGCUUCAACACUUGGAAUGUCAGCCUGAUAAACCUAUUUCAACAGAGAUGGAUAUAGUCCUGGAUUCUGCUGUAUCCAACAAAGCUAACACAGAUAUGAGAGAUGACAGUAUGACAUUACAUAAUUCCUAUGUAUAUUUAAGAGAAGAUAAUAGUCUACCAGAUAAAGCCAAUGAUGAUGCAGGAGAAGAUGGUAUAAUAUCAGAUAUUUUGUCUCUGGCUCUUGGUCAGGUUGAUCAUCUGAUAGAUCGUUAUAAUCUCAGCGAACUGCUGAGUGGCACUAAUGAAAGUGACUACUCAAAAUCCUAUAAUUCUUGGAUGCCAUGCAAUAGCAGUGAAUCCAAAUUUUCUUUUGCAAGGUUAGAUGAUUCCAACUGUGGAAAAGAGCAAUCAUUUCCUUUAGAUUCCUAUGUUUUUGCUCUUGAUAUAAAAACUGACCAGCUAGACAUUGAGGAAAAGAAAGUAGGCAAUACAAACACCUCUCUCAGUGGGUUAUCUGCUUAUGAUAUGGACAAUCCUGAGAUUCUGAACAGCCGUCAUAGAUCUUCUGCAUGUGAUGUUGCCAAUGAAUCAAAACAUCCAUCUAGUUUGCGUCAGUCAGCUUCUCCUAUUUCAAGGUCUGAGGUGUUGCCUUCUUCUGGAUUUCCUGCCGGGAUUAGGUCCAUUUCUCCUUGCUUCUAUCCUCGACAUGUGGAUGACACAGAUCAAGCUUUUUGCAAGCUUACAAAUUCUGGUUCUAUUGCUGAAUACCAGAUUUCUGGAAAUUCACCUUGUAUAAAUUCCUCUCAAGAAAAUCCCGGUUCCAACAGCUUUAAUGGUCCUCAGAUUGAUCAGAUUAAUCAGAUUAAUGGUUCUGCAACUGCAUCACUAUGUAAAGGAAAGUUGUCACAGUCAAUGAUACGGCAGUUUUCUCUGAGCUCUAACUCGAUUAGUCUUGCCGAGGCUGAUCAGAGGCUUCAGUUUCAGGCAAGAAUGAGAAAUUUGACUCAAAAUCUGGUGACGUUAAUGAAUCAAAAUAGGAACAUGACCUUACAGGAUAUGGUGAAUAAUUAUGACGGGACAUGGGGAUCAUGUAAUAUUGGCAGUCCAACUGCAAUGGAGUCUGGGGUUACUGGCAGAGGUCAAUCUGCUCUGGAUGAGAUUAUACAUCAUUUAAUUCCUGGUUCAAAGCAAGGAUCUUGGAGACUGUCAAGAACAUGAGAAACCCUGUUUUCAGGUUCCUGAUUCUUCUGGUUUACUGUUUAACGUACAAUAUGAGCAAAGUUUUUGUUGUUUGAAGCUCCUCUCUGUGAUGCUAUGGCUCAUUGUAUUGGGGCCUUCAAAUGAACUUGUAUCAGUUGGUGCCAAAAUUUUCUGAACCUCUGAGACUUGCAACUAUGGGAUCCAUGGAGUUGGUUAAAUUCCAAUAGGGUGAUGUGAUCUGCAGAGUUGCUUGGUUGUAGAUGUUUGCAGUUAUGCCCAACCCAGCCGCCUGGAUGGAUGGAAAAUGAGGUGGUUGUUUUGGUCUCUUGCACGCUGACGCAUGUAGACUCGUUGAAUUCUUGAGCAAUCUUUUACACCGUGGCAUGUAACACCCAGGCAGAUAGACAAAUGAAAAACCCUCAAUUUCUAAUUUCAACCGUGUAAAUGGCUUUCAGACCUUUUUGUUGUUUUUCUUUUUUCUCCAUGAUCUCUAUGUAGAUCGGUACAUGAAAAUUCUUGCGUGUUUUCGUUCUUUUA